rnacentral:rRNA from 1 species
AGUGAACGCUGGCGGUAGGCCUAACACAUGCAAGUCGAACGGCAGCACAGUAAGAGCUUGCUCUUACGGGUGGCGAGUGGCGGACGGAUGAGGAAUACAUCGGAAUCUACUUUUUCGUGGGGGAUAACGUAGGGAAACUUACGCUAAUACCGCAUACGACCUACGGGUGAAAGCAGGGGAUCUUCGGACCUUGCGCGAUUGAAUGAGCCGAUGUCGGAUUAGCUAGUUGGCGGGGUAAAGGCCCACCAAGGCGACGAUCCGUAGCUGGUCUGAGAGGAUGAUCAGCCACACUGGAACUGCGACACGGUCCAGACUCCUACGGGAGGCAGCAGUGGGGAAUAUUGGACAAUGGGCGCAAGCCUGAUCCAGCCAUACCGCGUGGGUGAAGAAGGCCUUCGGGUUGUAAAGCCCUUUUGUUGGGAAAGAAAAGCAGCAGGUUAAUACCCCGCUGUUCUGACGGUACCCAAAGAAUAAGCACCGGCUAACUUCGUG